rnacentral:lncRNA from 11 species
UUUGAAUUCUAAUGGCAGGUGUUUCUAGUUCCCAUGUCAAGGACAGCCAGCUUUCUACCUCUUGCAUAAGUGCUGGAACCAAAAUCCUUUUCUGAAAGAGUCCCCCCCUCCCCCUGGUCUACAUGUUAGGAAGGCGAUAUUCCUUGACUGCAGUAAGAGUGGUCACAAGAACAAGAGCAGAACUACAAUUUAUGAACAAUAAAUUCUGGUGGAUUCCAAUCAAAAUGUCACCUAUGUUUGGAGCCUUCACACAGUGUUUGAGAACAUUUACCCAUAUCAAGAUUUGCCGGAACUCCCUGGCAUCUAGGAAUCAUGCGUCAAGAGAAAGGGAGGAGGAGGAGGAAAAUUGCUCCUGGCUCAUCAUUCCUAAGCAUCAGAAGAGGGCCAGCAGCACUUUAAUGGUGACCAGAUUCUGAGUUGGGGGGCAUGGUUCCGUUUUCACACACCUCCCAAAAACGGCCGGCUGGGCGAAUAGCCAUUUUUGGUCCACAAAGUGUGAGCAUGCAGCAGCCUCUCCAUGUGCCACGUGGUCCUGAAUAGAAGGGAAGAAGCUGCACCUGGCAACCACAUGGGGCAUUUCGGGUGAAAAAAACAUUGUGGCUGGGCCCUUACCUUCCUGUUACAGCCACCUGAAGAAGCUGAAGAAAAUGGCUAAAACGGAUCUGUGCACAAGUCUAAUGAUUAUACACUUUAUGCAUCUACUGAAAUUGUCUCUCUUUUAAUGACGUAUAUCAUACAUACUUUUAAUUUUGCACAGUAUUAUUUGCAGUGAUAUCAUGUACACCAGGCCUGAGGAAAAGGCAGCUCACAGGCUCACUGAGUAGUAACAACAACAAGAACAACAACAUAUUUGUUUGUAUCACUGAAUCCCACAAAGCCCACAGCAUUCCGUUAAAGCUCCCAGAUUCCUCAAAGAGUUUUUUGCCUCAAGAUUAUGCACUAAACUACUCCUAAAUGCACAGUUUACCUUCAUGCCCAACAGGCAGUAAAAUGACAGAAAAGUAUUGAAUUUUGGCUAGAAACUGGGUGAUGUGGGAAGCAGUAAUGUGAUAUCAUCACUUCCAGCAUCUUGCCUAGGGAUUAGUGUGUCCUGCAGAGCAAAAUAUGAACAAGAAUAGGUAUAAGAAGACAUAUGCAUGUGUUAUUAUUAAAUCUAUAAAUCCAUCAAUAGUGACUGGAACAUUUAAAUUGGAUGAAUCAAACAGAACCAUGCAAAAAAAAAAAACCAACA